rnacentral:rRNA from 1 species
UACGGAGGGAGCUAGCGUUGUUCGGAAUUACUGGGCGUAAAGCGCACGUCGGCGGCUUUGUAAGUUAGAGGUGAAAGCCCGGGGCUCAACUCCGGAACUGCCUUUAAGACUGCAUCGCUUGAAUCCAGGAGAGGUGAGUGGAAUUCCGAGUGUAGAGGUGAAAUUCGUAGAUAUUCGGAAGAACACCAGUGGCGAAGGCGGCUCACUGGACUGGUAUUGACGCUGAGGUGCGAAAGCGUGGGGAGCAAACAGG